rnacentral:rRNA from 1 species
UACAGAGGUCCCAAGCGUUGUUCGGAUUCAUUGGGCGUAAAGGGUGUGUAGGUGGCGCCGUAAGUCGGGUGUGAAAUUUCGGAGCUUAACUCCGAAACUGCAUUCGAUACUGCCGUGCUUGAGGACUGGAGAGGAGACUGGAAUUUACGGUGUAGCGGUGAAAUGCGUAGAUAUCAGGAGGAACACCGGUGGCGAAGGCGGGUCUCUAGUACGGUACUGACGCUGAGACGCGAAAGCGUGGGGAGCGAACAGG